AACGUCCCGGGAAACAGCAAACAUUUAAGCAGGCUCACUGUUUCACCAGUGGAACGCUGUAAUAGUCAUUGAAAAGACUUCUCCUAACGCUCCACUCAUUACAUUAAGAAACACUAAUCUAAUCAAAGACUUUGAAUGUGUAGGAGCAUGGCAGAGCUCCAGAAGGUGAGGCAGACCAGCGCCCAAGGGCAUGACGCUGACCGCCAUCCGCAGCAGCAUGUCUGCAAUCUGCCCGGAGUUCCUUGGCAACCGUCAACAGUUUGUUCCACACAGACUUCAGAGGCCUUACAGACCACGGGCUCUGGGGACAAAGACAAGAGAUAAGGCAGUGGCGCCGCGUCUCAAAUCAGUGUGAUGAAAGAAGUGAGACUUCAAUGACAUUGUGGACCACAACAUUGCUCGGGGGACAAAGACAAGGGAAAAGCAGAGCAGCAGAGUCUCAAUCUCCAUCACUAACGACUCCACGUCCACAGUCCGAGUCCACUCCACUGCACUGCACAUACACCACAUUAUUACACAUACACUCAUCAGAUUUUACACACCAUUUCACAAUCAAAUUACUAUCAUCAAUAUACAACCAUAUAAUUUAUUUUUCAUCAUUAAAUAUUAAAUAUAUAUCCAUUACGUGAAUCUCUGUGUGUGCAUUAAUGGGGGAUAAAGAUGUAUGGAGAUGUAUGAACGUUUCAUCUCACGCUAAGAGCGGAGCAUCCUUAGACCUAAUUCUUCCAUCACAUUUAGCAA